rnacentral:rRNA from 1 species
CCUACGGGAGGCAGCAGUGAGGAAUAUUGGUCAAUGGCCGAGAGCCUGAACCAGCCAAGUCGCGUGAGGGAAGAAUGUCCUAUGGAUUGUAAACCUCUUUUGUCGGGGAGCAAAGGCACCCACGUGUGGGUGUUGGAGAGUACCUGAAGAAACAGCAUCGGCUAACUCCGUGCCAGCGGCCGCGGUAAUACGGAGGAUGCGAGCGUUAUCCGGAUUUAUUGGGUUUAAAGGGUGCGUAGGCGGGUGAUCAAGUCAGCGGUAAAAUCGUGGAGCUCAACUCCAUCCAGCCGUUGAAACUGAUGAUCUUGAGUGGGCGAGAAGUAUGCGGAAUGCGUGGUGUAGCGGUGAAAUGCAUAGAUAUCACGCAGAACUCCGAUUGCGAAGGCAGCAUACCGGCGCCCGACUGACGCUGAAGCACGAAAGCGUGGGUAUCGAACAGGAUUAGAUACCCGAGUAGUC